GGAUGCCUUGGCACUAAGAGCCGAUGAAGGACGA
rnacentral:rRNA from 1 species